rnacentral:rRNA from 1 species
AGUGAACGCUGGCGGCAGGCCUAACACAUGCAAGUCAAACGGCAGCACAGUAAGAGCUUGCUCUUACGGGUGGCGAGUGGCGGACGGGUGAGGAAUACAUCGGAAUCUACUUUUUCGUGGGGGAUAACGUAGGGAAACUUACGCUAAUACCGCAUACGACCUACGGGUGAAAGCAGGGGAUCUUCGGACCUUGCGCGAGUGUAUGAGCCGAUGUCGGAUUAGCUAGUUGGCGGGGUAAAGGCCCACCAAGGCGACGAUCCGUAGCUGGUCUGAGAGGAUGAUCAGCCACACUGGAACUGAGACACGGUCCAGACUCCUACGGGAGGCAGCAGUGGGGAAUAUUGGACAAUGGGCGCAAGCCUGAUCCAGCCAUACCGCGUGGGUGAAGAAGGCCUUCGGGUUGUAAAGCCCUUUUGUUGGGAAAGAAAAGCAGCAGGUUAAUACCCCGCUGUUCUGACGGUACCCAAAGAAUAAGCACCGGCUAACUUCGUG